AGGAUAAACGCUGGCGGCGUGCCUAACACAUGCAAGUCGAACGUCCUACGCAAGUAGGGAGUGGCGGACGGGUGAGUAGCACGUGGGCAAUCUACCUUUCGGUGAGGAAUACCGGCGAGAAAUCGCCGACAAUACCGCAUACGCUUCGCAAGAAGCAAAGUCGCAAGACGCCGGAGGAGGAGCCUGCGCCCGAUUAGCUAGUUGGUGAGGUAAGAGCUCACCAAGGCGACGAUCGGUAGCUGGUCUGAGAGGAUGAUCAGCCACACUGGGAUUGAGAACGGCCCAGACUCCUACGGGGGCAGCAGUGAGGAAUUUUCGUCAAUGGGGGCAACCCUGAACGAGCAACGCCGCGUGCAGGAAGAAGGUUUUCGGAUCGUAAACUGCUUUUCUCGGGGAAGAGAAUGGACGGUACCCGAGGAAUCAGCCCCGGCUAACUACGUGCCAGCAGCCGC
rnacentral:rRNA from 1 species